rnacentral:rRNA from 1 species
AUUGAACGCUGGCGGCAGGCCUAACACAUGCAAGUCGAGCGGAGCGGCGGACGGGUGAGUAAUGCCUAGGAAUCUGCCUGGUAGUGGGGGAUAACGUCCGGAAACGGGCGCUAAUACCGCAUACUAUCAGAUGAGCCUCAGUCGGCUUAGCUAGUUGGGGGGGUAAAGGCCUACCCAGGCGACGAUCUGUAGCGGGUCUGAGGGGAUGAGCCGCCACAAUGGGACUGGGACAAGGCCCAGACUCCUACGGGAGGGAGCAGUGGGGAAUAUUGGACAAUGGGGGGAACCCUGAUCCAGCCAUGCCGGGUGUGUGAAGAAGGCCUUAUGGUUGGAAAGCACUUUAAGCGAGGAGGCGUUACUCGCAGAAUAAGCACCGGCUAACUCUGUGCCAGCAGCCGCGGUAAUAC